GACAGCAGCCAUAUCACCCUGCAUCUCACAACUGGCAGCCCACUGAAGCUCAGCAGGUGUGAGCCUGGUCAGUCCCUGGAUGGGAGACCUCCUGGAAAAGCUGAGGUUGCUGCUGAAA
rfam:Lepisosteus oculatus linkage group LG3, whole genome shotgun sequence.